rnacentral:rRNA from 1 species
UACGUAGGGGGCUAGCGUUGUUCGGAAUCAUUGGGCGUAAAGAGCUCGUAGGCGGUUUGUCGCGUCUGCUGUGAAAUCCCGAGGCUCAACCUCGGGCUUGCAGUGGGUACGGGCAGACUAGAGUGCGGUAGGGGAGACUGGAAUUCCUGGUGUAGCGGUGGAAUGCGCAGAUAUCAGGAGGAACACCGAUGGCGAAGGCAGGUCUCUGGGCCGCAACUGACGCU